rnacentral:rRNA from 1 species
UACGUAGGGGGCAAGCGUUGUCCGGAAUCAUUGGGCGUAAAGAGCGUGUAGGCGGCCCGGUAAGUCUGUUGUGAAAGUCCAGGGCUCAACCCUGGAAUGGCGAUGGAUACUGGCGGGCUAGAGUGCGGUAGAGGAGAGUGGAAUUCCCGGUGUAGCAGUGAAAUGCGUAGAGAUCGGGAGGAACAUCAGUUGCGAAGGCGGCUCUCUGGACCAGCACUGACACUGAGGCACGAAAGCGUGGGGAGCAAACAGG